AACAUAAUUUGAAUUACGGUAAAUUUAUAAGCAACUAUCUUUGGUUCUGUUGUACUUUCGCCGCAAAGAAACACAAUGGACGCAUUCGUCGAUCACUACACGGUGCUAGGGUUACCUUCCGGCGAAGAAGCUGCAAACCUAACCGAUAAAGACAUCAACAAGGCUUACAAAUUCAAGGCUCUUGAACUCCACCCCGACAAAAGACCCGACGACCCCAACGCCGCCUCCAAUUUCCAACAACUUCGUACCUCCUACGACAUCCUCAAAGAUGAAAAGGCUCGAAAGUUAUUCGACGACCUUCUCCGCGUCAAGCGCGAUAACCAGCGCCGUCAAUCUCAGCGCGACGGAAAACGCCGCAAAAUGGUUUCCGAUCUCGAAAAGAGAGAGCGCGAAGCUUUUUCCGUCGAUCCUGCUGCGAAGGGGAAGGAAGAGGAGGAGAGGAUUGCGAAACAGUUAAAGGAUGAGAUUGCGAGGAUUCGUGCUAUGCACGCUAAGAAAGUGGUGCCGGAUUUGGGUGGAAUGAGAGAGAGCGUUGGUUCCGGCGGUGGUGGCGGUGGAGUUGAUCAAGAGAAGGUUUUGAAAGUUUCGUGGGAGAAGGUUGGUGAAGAUUAUUCAGCGGAUAAGUUGAGGGAAUUGUUUUCAAAGUUUGGUGAAGUUGAAGAUGUUGUUAUCAAAGGGAGUAAGAAAAAGGGUUCUGCACUUGUUGUUAUGGCAACUAAACAAGGAGCUCUUGCUACAACUGGAAGUAUGAUUGGUCAUCUUGCUAAUCCAUUGUUGGUUUUACCUCUUAAACCGGCAAUGGCGGCAGAUUCUUCAAGUGCUCCAAAGUCUGUGGAACCUGAUAGGCUUAAUAAACUAGUUGGGGCUGGUUAUCAAGCUUUUGAGGAUUCUGUUCUUAUGAAACUGCAAAAGGCUGCAGCAAAACAAAGAUGAUGGUAAAAGAUGUCAAACACUAUUAUUGAUUAUAUGGAAUGGUUAUCCCCGGAUCUUAAUUCUUAGGGGUCUGAAACUUGUGGUGACAUGAUUCAAGGAAGCAUCCUUUUGAUGAAAACCAUAAACUGGAAGUUGAAGGAGGUGUGCGGUUUUAGUGCAGCCUUGGGUCCAUGAGAAAUGUUCUUGGUCUGCGAAAAGAGAAAACAAAUGGUAGCAGAUGCAAAGUCAGAGAUCAAUGGUUCCUAUGAUUGCGUAAAAAUUUGAGUGUUAGUGUCAAUAUACAAGUCACGUGCUCUGGCUCAGCUUGGAAUUCCUUCUGCUAUCUGUAUACAACACUAAAAUGGGAGUCCGACACACUUAGUAGAUCAAGUCUAAUUAAUAACCUUUUGGGAAAUUUGAGAUCCAUCUAAGCUUACUCCGAACCCAAUGGACGAUAUCAGGCAGACUUGGAAUUGUUUGCAAUAAACAAUAUAGGGUUAUAUGCGGUCAAGUAUCCAAACUGGAGAAUAAUCAUGUUCAGUGAUUGUUUUAACUUUGCUGUAUGCUUAUUGAUUUGUGCUAUAUUAUUAAUUGAUUGUGCACGUGCCAAAUAGUCUGCGAAGAGUGAAAGAUAUAUAUAGCUAAAAGAUUACACAAACCAGUAAAAGGGAGAAUGUAUUGAUCAAAGUGCACAAACAGUUAAACUUCAUUCGACCUGUGUAUCUAAGAGAGUAUGGGACCUCUGGAGUUCUGGUAGGUCUUCUUUCCUGAGAGUUGAUAUUGACAUGUAACCAGAAACGGACAUUGUAAUCCUUGUCUAAAGUCUUGAUGAAAGAGAACUUGAGAAUUGUUAAUCCACUGAAAGUCUAGUCCAUCAACGUGGAAAGCAUUAUUAUCCAUUAAAAACUAGUAUGUAGAAAUGGUUUUGGAAUUCUUAAUAAGAACAGCUUCUGAAUGAAUUCAGUAUAAUAAUUUAUUACUGUCAAUAGAUA